GAUCCUUAACCCACUGUGCUGGGUCGGGAAUUGAACUGGUGCCUCCACAGAGACAAGCUGGAUCAUUAAUCCAUUGUGCCACAGCAGCAAUCCACAUUGGAUUUUCUUCGGGGCCCAAUGUUAUAUAUGAAAUCCUUUGCAAACUAUGAAGUAUAUUUGUGAGAUGGUUUUACUGGAAACAGUAGGACACUAGAAACAAAUACGCUAUAGCAAUAUCAGCCACGGGCAUAAUAGUUAGUGGUUAAUUGAUACUCUUUAAGUCCUGACACAACCACCAUGCUGAUGCAGAUACUCUUUAUUAGUACACAGGAAAAUCAGAUCAUUAUCUAAGGCCAACAAGCUCCUCCUUGAGAUGUUCUGCCAUAUAAUCUGGAGGAAAUACUGUAAGACUUUGUCAGCACUGAGUCAUUUGCACUGGGAGUCUUACCAGAAAAAAAAAAUCUUGUCUUCUCAGAAGGAAUACCCUUCCUGAGGCCAAGAUGUGUCCUCUGGAAAGAUACCCAUGACACAGACCACAGUGGACACCAACUCAGAUACUGAGGGAAGGUUCCACGACA
rnacentral:lncRNA from 1 species